UGGGGUCGCAGAGAAUAGAGGGAAGCGACUGUUUAUCAAAAACACAGGUGCAUGCGAAGUCGUAAGACGAUGUAUAUGCACUGACUCCUGCCCGGUGCUGGAAGGUUAAGCGGAUCUGUUAGCUCACUUGUGGGCGAAGCGGAAAAGUUAAGCCCCAGUAAACGGCGGUGGUAACUAUAACCAUCCUAAGGUAGCGAAAUUCCUUGUCGGGUAAGUUCC
rnacentral:rRNA from 14 species